rnacentral:piRNA from 1 species
UGCCCUGGCAUUGUAUUUUCUUCCUUCGCC